UCCUACGGGAGGCAGCAGUAGGGAAUCUUCCACAAUGGACGAAAGUCUGAUGGAGCAACGCCGCGUGAGUGAAGAAGGUUUUCGGAUCGUAAAACUCUGUUGUUGGAGAAGAAUGUAUCUGAUAGUAACUGAUCAGGUAGUGACGGUAUCCAACCAGAAAGCCACGGCUAACUACGUGCCAGCAGCCGCGGUAAUAAA
rnacentral:rRNA from 1 species